rnacentral:tRNA from 1 species
UCGUCUAGAGGCCCAGGACACCGCCCUUUCACGGCGGUAACAGGGGUUCGAAUCCCCUG